UCAAUUGCUCACCUUUGUGCAGGUAGGUGCUGUUAGAAAAUUGAUGGGUGAAGCAGACACGCAGCUAAAGUAAAAUUGGGAGAAAAAUAAAGAACGAGCACAAUAGAGGACACCAGAAAUUACGUGGUUCGGCUUUUAGCCUACGUCCACGGGCGAAAACAGAAGGAAAUAUUUUACUAGUGAAAUAAGGAUUACAAGUAUUGUAAUAUUUUGGCUCACAACCCAAAACCCCAAUACACCCAAUCUCUCACUCACUAGACUCUCUGCUCUGCAAGAAUUAUUUCUCACAACUCUCGACUCUCUCUACAAAAUUGAAUGCCUCUCAAAAUGAAAUUGAAUUUGCUCAUUCUCUUCGUUUCUAUUUAUAGAGAAAGCUUUGGCACUAUUCAUCAAUUAUAUAUUAUUAUUUUUUCUUCUUUCUUUUGUCAAAGCCGUGUGCCUCUUAUUUCUUCUUCAAACAUUUAUAGCUUCUAGAUUGCGACUCCUCAUUCUCCAUUCUUCUUUUGUUUUCUUUUCCAACUAAAGAUGGUGUUGACCAUCUAGAUAGCCCAUUUGUUUGACAAAAUAUAGAUCAAGUAAAUCCUAUCACCAAAUGAUACGAAAUAUAAGUAAUCUAAAAUGUGGUUCAAAUUGAAAAGUAACAAAAAAUUAUACCAGAGCGCAAGAUGUGGGAGGAUCCUUUUGCAGAUCCUUGAGUUCCUUCAAAAUACACUUUGAAGCCAUAACUCUUCAAGGGAUUAUUAAAAUUAAAGCUACAACGAACCUUAAGACCUGCAAAACUGUAAACAAAUCCAUAUACAACUUCUUAAUUAGACUAGCCAAGCUUGUAAAACCACAAAUUAUUUGAUCUACUGCAUUUGAAUCAAAAAGUUUAAAUCAAAAUUUCGAAAAUACUAAAAACAUAACGACACAAAUUGACCUUGCGUGGCAGAGAACAGGAUCGUAGGGCAAUAGCGUCGAGAAAGUGAAACGGUGAAGCAGAUCUACGUCGUCAAGCCGCCCCUGCCUCGCUCCUCUAACAACCCCUUGCUUUGUUCUUCAACACAAAUAUCGUCGAAAAAGAACGUUCGGUGUUACAAUGGAUUCACAUAAGCGAAAACAAACAAGCUAACCCUAAAUAGCGUGAACAAAUCAAAUCUUGAAAUUAUGAAAACACAAUCGAAAUCACGGCAUAAUUGAUUCACAUGAGCGACGACAAACAACAUGCAAACAAUAAAUUGGACCUGAGGAGUGGCUAAGAGGCCGGGAUGGUAGAGAGACUUUUGUUGAAGAAUCGCUUGCUGCACCAGUGCUUGUUGCUGCUGUCGAUGCUGCUUCAACCUCUGGUACUGCAUUUUCCUUCAGAAUCGAAGGAUUUGUAAACUGUUUGUCGAAGGAUUUGUAAACUGUUUGGUUCCUGAGAAAAUUUCGUUAAGGUUUCUCGAGAAAAUGAAAGAAAAGAAAAAAAACGAAGAAAAUGAGAGAGUGACGAGAGAAGCAGCUGUGUAUGACUGUUUUCGUUUAACACUUAGGAAAAAAAAGGAAGAAAGAAAGUUUAAA
rnacentral:lncRNA from 1 species